CCGAAAGGCGUAGUCGAUGGGAAACAGGUUAAUAUUCCUGUACUUGGUGUUACUGCGAAGGGGGGACGGAGAAGGCUAUGUUGGCCGGGCGACGGUUGUCCCGGUUUAAGCGUGUAGGCUGGUUUUCCAGGCAAAUCCGGAAAAUCAAGGCUGAGGCGUGAUGACGAGGCACUACGGUGCUGAAGCAACAAAUGCCCUGCUUCCAGGAAAAGCCUCUAAGCAUCAGGUAACAUCAAAUCGUACCCCAAACCGACACAGGUGGUCAGGUAGAGAAUACCAAGGCGCUUGAGAGAACUCGGGUGAAGGAACUAGGCAAAAUGGUGCCGUAACUUCGGGAGAA
rnacentral:rRNA from 1 species